CUUUCUAAAAAUACCACGCUGAACACACUUUUCUGAUUUCAGAUGCUAAGCAAGAUUGGCCUGAUUAGUAUUUGGAUGUGAGACCUUCAGGGAACCUGAGAGAUCUCCAAGU
rnacentral:rRNA from 1 species